rnacentral:rRNA from 1 species
GAUGAACGCUGGCGGCAGGCCUAACACAUGCAAGUCGGACGGUAGCACAGAGGAGCUUGCUCCUCGGGUGACGAGUGGCGGACGGGUGAGUAAUGUCUGGGGAUCUGCCCGAUGGAGGGGGAUAACCACUGGAAACGGUGGCUAAUACCGCAUAACGUCGCAAGACCAAAGAGGGGGACCUUCGGGCCUCUCACUAUCGGAUGAACCCAGAUGGGAUUAGCUAGUAGGCGGGGUAAUGGCCCACCUAGGCGACGAUCCCUAGCUGGUCUGAGGGGAUGACCAGCCACCCUGGAACUGAGAAACGGUCCAGACUCCUACGGGAGGCAGAAGUGGGGAAUAUUGCACAAUGGGCGCAAGCCUGAUGCAGCCAUGCCGCGUGUAUGAAGAAGGCCUUCGGGUUGUAAAGUACUUUCAGCGGGGAGGAAGGCGGUGCGGUUAAUAACCGUGCCGAUUGACGUUACCCGCAGAAGAAGCACCGGCUAACUCCGUGCCAGCAGCCGCCGUAACAC